UGACCUCAAAUCAGGUAGGACUACCCGCUGAACUUAAGCAUAUCAAUAAGCGGAGGAAAAGAAACUAACAAGGAUUCCCCUAGUAACUGCGAGUGAAGCGGGAAAAGCUCAAAUUUAAAAUCUGGCGGUCUUUUGGCUGUCCGAGUUGUAAUCUAGAGAAGUGUUAUCCGCGCUGGACCGUGUACAAGUCUCCUGGAAUGGAGCAUCAUAGAGGGUGAGAAUCCCGUCUUUGACAUGGACUGCCAGGGCUUUGUGAUGCGCUCUCAAAGAGUCGAGUUGUUUGGGAAUGCAGCUCAAAAUGGGUGGUAAAUUCCAUCUAAAGCUAAAUAUUGGCGAGAGACCGAUAGCGAACAAGUACCGUGAGGGAAAGAUGAAAAGAACUUUGGAAAGAGAGUUAAACAGUACGUGAAAUUGCUGAAAGGGAAACGCUUGAAGUCAGUCGCGUUGUCCAGGGAUCAACCUUGCUUUUGCUUGGUGCACUUCCUGGUUCGACGGGUCAGCAUCAAUUUUGAUCGUUGGAAAAAGGCUGGGGGAAUGUGGCAUCUCUGGAUGUGUUAUAGCCCUUGGUCACAUACAAUGGUUGGGAUUGAGGAACUCAGCACGCCGCAAGGCCGGGUUUUAAACCACGUACGUGCUUAGGAUGC
rnacentral:rRNA from 1 species